UUUAUUCUGUGGACUAGAAUAUAAUCUGGGGAAUGCAUUGUACACUAUUCUGGGGCUGACGUUCCCCUCCGCACUCCAAACCAAAGCCAUCAAGACAUCGGGAAUGAGAAAUCCUGUCACCACCAAAGGGAAGGUUGCUGGGACCAGAGCUUGGAGUCAAGCAGCCAGGAAUUUGGUCUGAGCUGCUGGGGCACAUCUGAUGCAGCUGCAAGUGACGGAUCCCUCAGGGAGGAAUGCACAAGUUGGUCUCCCCCAACUCUGGCAGUUCCCCACUCAUGUGACAGCGGCCGAGAAUGAACCAGCCCUGCAGAGGCCCAGUGCUCAACCGCUGCACCACCAGGGGAAGCCCAACAGCUGCUUUUUAAUGUUUGCAAUAGGAUCCAUUUCAGGAUCUGCAGGUGAAUGACAUUUA